AUGAUGACCGGGGGAGAGACCGCCUUAGGCGGCGCCGAAGGAGCAAACAGGCGAGAAACUCUCAGGCAAAAGGACCCUGGUUUGACA
rnacentral:ncRNA from 2 species